AAAAAGGUCUCAACAUAUUUUCAGCAAACGUGAUUAAUUAUGUCAAUAAGAUACAAUUCCUUAAAAAAUGUAUGAUAGCUUAAAUACAUCAAUUUUGCCAAUGACAUAAUUGUGACACUAUAUAUAACCACCUCAUGUAGCUACUUGAAUGUAACUCCAUUAAUUAUACAUCUCUGAAUUAGGAAUCAAUAUGGUUAUUUGAGUUUUCCCCUCAUAGAGGGGAAGAGUUGCCAAAUAACACAAUGACACUAUAACCACGUAUUAGGGGUGUACAAAACCGAACCAAACCGCAAAUCGAGUCAAACCGGAAAAAAAAAAUCCGACUAGUGGUUGGUUUGACUUGGUUUGGUGUUGAAAAAAAAAACUCGACUAUAUUU
rnacentral:lncRNA from 1 species